AUUGAACGCUGGCGGCAGGCCUAACACAUGCAAGUCGAGCGGAUGACGGGAGCUUGCUCCUUGAUUCAGCGGCGGACGGGUGUGUAAUGCCUAGGAAUCUGCCUGAUAGUGGGGGACAACGUUUCGAAAGGAACGCUAAUACCGCAUACGUCCUACGGGAGAAAGCAGGGGACCUUCGGGCCUUGCGCUAUCAGAUGAGCCUAGGUCGGAUUAGCUAGUUGGUGGGGUAAUGGCUCACCAAGGCGACGAUCCGUAACUGGUCUGAGAGGAUGAUCGGUCACACUGGAACUGAGACACGGUCCAGACUCCUACGGGAGGCAGCAGUGGGGAAUAUUGGACAAUGGGCGAAAGCCUGAUCCAGCCAUGCCGCGUGUGUGAAGAAGGUCUUCGGAUUGUAAAGCACUUUAAGUUGAGAGGAAGGGCAGUAAGUUAAUACCUUGCUGUUUUGACGUUACCGACAGAAUAAGCACCGGCUAACUCUGUGCCAGCCGCCGCGGUAAGAC
rnacentral:rRNA from 1 species